AACCUGCAUGGCCAAAAAUUCAUGUGGUUAUUGCAAGAGGGCCUAUCUGGUUUUGUGAAGCAUUCAUUUAGUUGGCAAUCAAUGUGCAAAUGGAGUUAAUUCUGAGUUUAGUGGGAAAAGUUUCCCCUGAAGUGCAGAUUAUCAGACAUAUCCAUUGAAUAGGAAGGCCUAUGAGCUUCAAGUGACUGCUGUUACCUGAGAUACUACCUUAUGUCGAAUUGAUUCAGCUACUGAACCCUCCUCUGCCCUCUCGUCUCCAGCAUGCUUGUGUACGUUGAUGUUGUCAACUGGGCGUGCCUUCCUGAAUUGAGACCGGUGAUAGUAUCCAGCAGCCAAUGAGUCCACCACCAUUGUGGACACUGCAGCAGACAUUGAAACAAGGCCCGC